GACAGCACACUGGAGGUUAAGUCAUGCACUAAAUAGGGAGCAAGGGAGCAUCCUAUAGCUCCCCUAUAACUGUUCUGAGACCAGUGCAGACAGACAGCACACUGGAGGUUAAGUCAUGCACUAAAUAGGGAGCAAGGGAGCAUCCUAUAGCUCUCCUAUAACUGUUCUGAGACCAGUGCAGACAGACAGCACACUGGAGGUUAAGUCAUGCACUAAAUAGGGAGCAAGGGAGCAUCCUAUAGCUCUCCUAUAACUGUUCUGAGACCAGCGCAGACAGACAGCACACUGGAGGUUAAGUCAUGCACUAAAUAGGGAGCAAGGGAGCAUCCUAUAGCUCUCCUAUAACUGUUCUGAGACCAGCGCAGACAGACAGCACACUGGAGGUUAAGUCAUGCACUAAAUAGGGAGCAAGGGAGCAUCCUAUAGCUCUCCUAUAACUGUUCUGAGAUCAGCGCAGACAGACAGCACA